rnacentral:rRNA from 1 species
AGCAGCCGCGGUAAUUCCAGCUCCAAUAGCGUAUAUUAAAGUUGUUGCAGUUAAAAAGCUCGUAGUUGAAUUUCGGGACCAAUCUGCCGGUCGUGCCUCCGGUACGCACUGGUUUUAUUGGUUUCUCCCUUCUGACGAACCAUGAUGUCAUUAAUUUGGUGUCUUGGGGAAUCAGGACUGUUACUUUGAAAAAAUUUAGAGUGUUUAAAGCAGGCUCACGCUUGAAUACAUUAGCAUGGAAUAAUGAAAUAGGACGUUUGAUUCUAUUUUGUUGGUUUCUAGGAUCGACGUAAUGAUUAAUAGGGAUAGUUGGGGGCAUUAGUAUUCAAUUGUCAGAGGUGAAAUUCUUGGAUUUAUUGAAGACUAACUACUGCGAAAGCAUUUGCCAAGGAUGUUUUCAUUAAUCAAGAACGAAAGUUAGGGGAUCGAAGACGAUCAGAUACCGUCGUAGUCUUAACCAUAAACUAUGCCGACUAGGGAUCGGAUGAUGUUAAUUUUUUAAUGACUCAUUCGGCGCCUU